rnacentral:ncRNA from 1 species
UAAUUGGAGAGUUUGAUCCUGGCUCAGAAUGAACGCUGGCGGCGUGCUUAACACAUGCAAGUCGUACGAGAACUCUUUAGCUUGCUAAAGAUAGUAAAGUGGCGCACGGGUGAGUAACGCGUGGGUAAUCUACCUCUGAAUCGGGGAUAACUCGCCGAAAGGCGAGCUAAUACCGGAUAAUAUCUAUUAAACUUAGGUUUUAAAGAUCAAAGGUGGUUUCUACAUGUAAGCUACUGUUUGGAGAUGAGCCCGCGUACCAUUAGCUUGUUGGUAAGGUAAUGGCUUACCAAGGCU